GUGCCAGCCGCCGCGGUAAUACGUAGGGGGCAAGCGUUGUCCGGAUUUAUUGGGCGUAAAGAGCGUGUAGGCGGCCAGACAGGUCCGUUGUGAAAACUAGAGGCUUAACCUCUAGACGUCGAUGGAAACCGUCUGGCUAGAGUCCGGAAGAGGAGAAUGGAAUUCCUGGUGUAGCGGUGAAAUGCGCAGAUAUCAGGAAGAACACCCGUGGCUAAGGCGGUUCUCUAGUACGGUACUGACGCUGAGACGCGAAAGCGUGGGGAGCGAACAGGAUUAGAAACCCCCGUAGUCC
rnacentral:rRNA from 1 species